GACAGAGCACCCGGACCCGCGGCAGCGGCGGCAGCGGCGCUCCCCACCCUCCACCGCAGCACUCAUCGAGCCAGGAAACCACCAAGCCACGGGCCCUCGGGAGGAGAGGGAGCAAACAGACACCAGCAAAGCAUUCCUGUAACACGAUGUGCUACACAAGUUCCCAGUAGCGACAGAAGAGAAGAGCGACAUAAACUAUUUUAGACGCAAUCAAGGAAGAAUCGCCCAUCAUGUGGAAUUGAGCGGCAGUUUUAAAUGUACUAAGAGAAGACUGGUCUCGAAAAAAAAAAAAAAAA
rnacentral:lncRNA from 1 species